rnacentral:rRNA from 1 species
GACGGAGGAGGCUAGCGUUGUUCGGAAUUACUGGGCGUAAAGCGCGCGCAGGCGGUUUUGCAAGUCAGGGGUGAAAGCCCGGGGCUCAACCUCGGAACGGCCUUUGAGACUGUAAGACUGGAGACCGAGAGAGGAGAGUGGAAUUCCCAGUGUAGAGGUGAAAUUCGUAGAUAUUGGGAAGAACACCAGUGGCGAAGGCGGCUCUCUGGCUCGGUACUGACGCUCAUGCGCGAAAGCGUGGGGAGCAAACAGG